UACAGAGGCCACGAGCGUUAGGCGGAAUCACUGGGCUUAAAGCGUGUGUAGGUGGCUGGGUAAGUACCUUGUGAAAUCCCACAGCUCAACUGUGGAACUGCUUGGUAUACUGCCUGUCUUGAGGCACUCAGGGGCGAGCGGAACAGAUGGUGGAGCGGUGAAAUGCGUAGAUAUCAUCUGGAACGCCAAUGGUGAAGACAGCUCGCUGGGGGUGUACUGACACUGAGACACGAAAGCCAGGGGAGCAAACGGG
rnacentral:rRNA from 1 species